rnacentral:rRNA from 1 species
AACGACCUAGGGACGCAGCAGUGAGGAAUAUUGGUCAAUGGCCGGAAGGCUGAACCAGCCAAGUCGCGUGAGGGACGACUGCCCUAUGGGUUGUAAACCUCUUUUAUAAGGGAAGAAUAAAUGCUACGUGUAGCAUGAUGCCUGUACCUUAUGAAUAAGCAUCGGCUAACUCCGUGCCAGCAGCCGCGGUAAUACGGAGGAUGCGAGCGUUAUCCGGAUUUAUUGGGUUUAAAGGGUGCGUAGGCGGUUUUUUAAGUUAGUGGUUAAACGUCGGGGCUUCACCUUGAUUUGCCAUUAAUACUGUA